rnacentral:rRNA from 1 species
CUAUGCGCCUUGCCAGCCCGCUCAGGUGUGCCAGCAGCCGCGGUAAUACAGAGGUCUCAAGCGUUGUUCGGAAUCACUGGGCGUAAAGCGUGCGUAGGCGGUUUCGUAGGUCGUGUGUGAAAGGCGGGGGCUCAACCCCCGGACUGCACAUGAUACUGCGAGACUAGAGUAAUGGAGGGGGAACCGGAAUUCUCGGUGUAGCAGUGAAAUGCGUAGAUAUCGAGAGGAACACUCGUGGCGAAGGCGGGUUCCUGGACAUUAACUGACGCUGAGGCACGAAGGCCAGGGGAGCGAAAGGG